rnacentral:lncRNA from 1 species
UUUGUGUCUAGCUCCUCUUAUUUAACCUGUGUUGAGGUUCAUUCAUAUAGUAUGUAUCAGUACUAUAUUCCUUUUUAGGGCUGAAUAAUAGUCUACAGUAUUCCAUUUGUUUACUCAUUUAUCAGUUUUUGGACGUUUGGGUUGUUUCUUUCUUUUGGCUAAGAUUACAGGUUUUUGUUUGAACAGCUGUUUCCAGUUCUUUGGGGGUAUAUAAGCAGGAAUAAGGUUGCUGGCUCAUACAGUAAUUCUUUGGUUAGCUUUCUGAUGAACUACCAAAUUAUUUUCCACUGAGGCUUACCUUUAUUACAUUCCUACCAGUACGAGGAUUCAUUCCAUUUUCUUUAUAUCUUCAUGAACACUUUUUAUUUUUUAAAGUCUAGCCAUCUGAGAAGGAUUUUAUCUUUAAAAUGCAUGAAUGAGCCACCCCUUAUUUGUAGUGAACACCUCAUUCCUUGAUACCCCAUCACAUUGUUGCUGAACAUGAUGAAAAGUUGAAGUGAAACUCAAAAGGCACACUGGACUGAACUGGAUUCCAUAAAAUCUAUGUCCAACAUCAUUCUGGUACAUUGCCUUCUAAAAAAGGCUUGCAGCUAUUAGGAGAAUCCCACUGAAUAUAUGUGUUUAAAAGCCCUUCUUUGGAGGUGUCUUUUGAGAGACACUUUUGAGAAUGAUGAGGACACCCCAUGCAUUCUUAUAUGAGAAUGUUCUCAUCACAGCUCAUUUUCUUUUGGUUUGACACGUUUGUACUUCUCCCCUUUUCCUUUUCAAUUUCCUUUAUUGCUUUUUUUUUUUUUUUUUUUAAGUUUAGCUCACGCUCCCAGGAAGAAGAUGUACCUGCUUGCUUUUGGCUUAGGCAGAGACUGUAGCAAAUGACUGGGAACCAAACAAGGGUAUAAGCAGGAUAUCUUCAGAUACUCUGAUUAUUCCCGCCCAUCCAUACAUAGUCAACAGUCCACUGUAAUUGGCCCUCAUUAAUAAUGCUUCAAAAUGCAAAUACACUUCAACCUUCAGCCUUAAAGGGCCAUUCCCACUCUUUUGGGUUAUGUCAUUUUUCUACCCUUAACAUACUGUAAUUGUUUUAUGAUUGGCAAGAUUUAGAAAGUUUUCUGUCAUAUCUGAUUUCAUAAAGUAGAGUAAGAAUGGACUCAGAAAUGUACUAACACGUUUGCACACACACAUGCCUUUAAUAAUAAUGGGAAGUAGAGUGAAGUGCAUUGCGAUCUGGAGAUUUUGAGUCUUUGUGAGCAUUUAAUUAUCAAGUACUGGUUGGUCAUGACUAAUCUGCUUGUGUUCCACUGACUCCAUCACUUAAUGCUGCAACCACUGUGCUGUUUCAUGAUUUAGCUGAAAGCAUUUUUCCUUUUCAAAGCUUGCCAGGUAAUUUUAAUGUUGGCUGUAAAUUCUUAUAGUUGUUCUGGAUACCCCCUAUAUGUGUUUUGGAAAUAUCCCAUUGGUAUCUUCAAUCAUAUACUUGAAUAGAACCUCAGACUGUUGUUUGUCCUAUUUGGUAACCCCGCCCCACCAAAUUGUUUGGUCUGGGGGGUGGGAUGACCUUUAGCAUGAGUAGUGUUUGUUUUUGAGAAGUCAUACAUUUUGAGUGUCGACUUUAAUACAAAUUCUUUCAACUGGUUUUAUAUCUGUGCAUGUAUUUCAUUUUAUAGCGAAAACCUUUCGUACAAGUAAAAUUUGUAAUUCUAAGUGGUUCAUUAUUUUUUUAAAUUGCAUUUAUGGCAGUUGAUCCUAACCUGUUUUAAUUUGAAGUUGUUUGUACCUUGGGUGCCUGGACAUAAAUUUCAUUCUAUUUUAUCAGAGGCAUAAACUAUUUCCUUUGGGUAACAGGCACAUUUGAGAAGGCAUUCGUUUUUUUUCACAUCUAAACAUUACCAUUAAAUAAAUUGACACUGUGGUGCUUUAAAUGGACA